rnacentral:rRNA from 1 species
CGUAUUGACGGGCGCCCGCACAAGCGGUGGAGCACGCGGAUUAAUUCGAUGCAACGCGAAGACCCUCACCUGGCCUUGACAUCCAGAGAAGUUAGCAGAGAUGCUUUGGUGCCUUCGGGAACUCUGAGACAGGUGCUGCAUGCCUGUCGUCAGCUCGCCCUGUGAAAAGUUGGGUUAAGUCCCACGCCGUGCGCAACCCCUAUCCUUUGUUGCCAGCGGGUUGGCCCCGAACUCCAAUGAUCCCCCGCGGGUGAUAACCCGGAGGAAGGUGGGGAUGACGUCAAGUCAUCAUGGCCCUUACGGCCAGGGAUACACACGUGCUACAAUGGCGCAUACAAAGAGAAGCGACCUCGCGAGAGCAAGCGGACCUCAUAAAGUGCGUCGUAGUCCGGAUUGGAGUCUGCAACUCGACUCCAUGAAGUCGGAAUCGCUAGUAAUCGUAGAUCAGAAUGCUACGGUGAAUACGUUCCCGGGCCUUGUACACACCGCCCGUCACACCAUGGGAGUGGGUUGC